rnacentral:lncRNA from 1 species
CCCCCUCUUAGUGCUGCUCCGAUCCUAACAAUUGGUAUCAGAGCCACGUUUUUCUACCUUGGUUUAACACCCAAAUAGAAAUGGCUCUUUACGGCUUUCAAGAGGGUCACUCUCUCAUUUGUCCUCCCUUUUUCAAUGGGACGGACUACACUUAUUGGAAAACUCGAAUGAGAGUUUUCUUACUUUCUUUGGAUUUGAA